CGGCGUGGAUGAGGCAUGCAAGUCGCACGAUAUGGGGGCAACUCCAUAUAGUGGCGCAAGGGUUAGUAAUACAUAGGUAAUCUACCUCUGACUCUGGAAUAACGGCUGGAAACGGCCGCUAAUACCGGAUGAGGUGGUAUGAGACAUCUCGUACAUAUCAAAGCGGGGGAUCGAAAGACCUCGUGGUUGGAGAAGAGCCUAUGGGAUAUCAGCUUGUUGGGGUGGUAAAAGCACACCAAGGCUAAGACGUCUAGGCGGAUUGAGAGAUUGACCGCCAACACUGGGACUGAGACACUGCCCAGACUCCUACGGGAGGCUGCAGUCGAGAAUCUUUCGCAAUGGGCGCAAGCCUGACGAAGCGACGCCGUGUGAACGAAGAAGGCCUUCGGGUUGUAAAGUUCUUUCGCCAGGGAACAAGGGAGAUAGGCUAAUAACCUAUUGACUUGAUGGUACUUGGUAAAGAAGCACCGGCUAACUCCGUGCCAGCAGCUGCGGUAAUACGGAGGGUGCAAGCAUUGAUCGGAAUUACUGGGCGUAAAGGGCGCGUAGGCGGCUAGGUAAGUCAGAUGUGAAAUUCCGGAGCUCAACUCCGGAGCUGCAUUUGAAACUGUUUAGCUAGAGUAUAGUUAGGGUAAACGGAAUUCCACGUGUAGCGGUGAAAUGCGUAGAUAUGUGGAAGAACACCGGUGGUGAAGACGGUUUACUGGGCUAUUUCUGACGCUGAGGCGCGAAAGCAUGGGUAGCAAACAGGAUUAGAUACCCUGGUAGUCCAUGCUGUAAACGAUGCAUACUAGGUGUAGGAGGGAUCAACCCCCUCUGUACCGGAGCUAACGCAUUAAGUAUGCCGCCUGGGGAGUACGCUCGCAAGGGUGAAACUCAAAAGAAUUGACGGGGGCCCGCACAAGCAGUGGAGCAUGUGGUUUAAUUCGAUGCAACGCGAAGAACCUUACCUGGGCUCGAAAUGUAGAGGACGAUAACAGAGAUGUUAUUUCCCGCAAGGGUCUUUAUAUAGGUGCUGCAUGGCUGUCGUCAGCUCGUGCCGUGAGGUGUUUGGUUAAGUCCAGCAACGAGCGCAACCCUUAUC
rnacentral:rRNA from 1 species